AUUCAGCUGAUGAGUCCCAAAUAGGACGAAAGGCGCCUCCUGGAU
rfam:Schistosoma mattheei strain Denwood, Zambia genome assembly, scaffold: SMTD_scaffold0029307